GUGAGGACUCAGCCGGUCUCGUCACCGUGAACGUCACUCGUGGCCCCGCCCGCGCUGUCGCCCGCCGCAGCAGCCCCAGGCGUUGUAAAGGUCACAAGUUGCCUUAAGGAAUGGAUCAGCGCUCUCUAAGCGGGGCACUUUACCCCCACGGAGGGGGCCUGGCCUGGGUGUUCGUGAGUUACGCUUCUGGAGUCGUGGAGAAAUCGUCGGGGCCGGGCGCUUGUGAUUUCUCAAGACUUUGCUCCUCCCAUAGACGACCUAGGCGUUUUGCGUGGGAGGACGUUCCCGUCCCUUUUUUAUUUUUUUUUAAGCUGUGGGAAAAUGGGAGAGAAAAUAUGAUUGGGCGUAGGGACUGAGCUGCCGGCAGACUAGCUGAACUUUCCAUUGAGCUGGGUGUUUGCUGAGUCCGUUACCAUCCCCCAAAUCCGCACAGCCUCUGAAAUCAGACUGUUUAGAUUGAAAUUCUAGCUCUACUGGGCGCUAUCAACUCUCUUCAGGCUCUGGAAUCUAGUCAACCGCAGCAAUCAGGGGAAGGCCUAGUGAAGACAGAAGCUGCUGCUCUGAGAGCUCACGGCUCCUUGCUGCUGGCAUUCAGUGUCUGGAAGGAGUUGCUUCAAGUAUUUUGUCUGGUUUCUAG